rnacentral:rRNA from 1 species
AGUGAACGCUGGCGGUAGGCCUAACACAUGCAAGUCGAACGGCAGCACAGUAAGAGCUUGCUCUUACGGGUGGCGAGUGGCGGACGGGUGAGGAAUACAUCGGAAUCUACUUUUUCGUGGGGGAUAACGUAGGGAAACUUACGCUAAUACCGCAUACGACCUACGGGUGAAAGCAGGGGAUCUUCGGACCUUGCGCGAUUGAAUGAGCCGAUGUCGGAUUCGCUAGUUGGCGGGGUAAAGGCCCACCAAGGCGACGAUCGGUAACUGGUCUGAGAGGAUGAUCAGACACACUGGAACUGAGACACGGUACAGACUCCGACAGGAGGCAGCAGUGGGGAAUAUUGGACAAUGGGCGCAAGCCUGAUCCAGCCAUACCGCGUGGAUGAAGAAGGCCUUCGGGUUGUAAAGCCCUUUUGUUGUGAAAGAAAAACAGCAGGUUAAUACCCCGCUGUUCUGACGGUACCCAAAGAAUAAGCACCGGCUAACUUCGUG